ACAGGUUGCCGACCCCUGGGUUAAAAGUUUUCUCAAAAACAAGUAAAGCUAGAGAAAUCUCUCCUCCCCAUGUUUUGGAUGGAAUUCUUAACCCAAGGUACUAUUUCUGGGUUAGCGGAGUCUGUAACCUGAAGCGUCUGUAACCCGAGGUACCACUGUAUUUAGACCCUCAAUUUGAGUAACUUGGGGGGCAUCACCGGAAUCAACUAUGCUACAGGUACCAUUAGGCAUGCAAUUUUCAAGUAAAUUUUUCAUGGGUGUGGCAAUUCCAGAGGCAUGUAGUCCUUGGUGCUUUACUUUAUAUUCACUUGCUAUGUACUGAAGUACUAAGUACUGUGCUUUUCCGUGUAUAAGACUAGGUUCUUUUUACUUUAAAAUAAGGUUAAAAAUCUGGGGGUGUCUUAUACAUGGAUAGUGCAUAUGCCCAUUUUCUAAAUUUGGGGUCCCUAAAAGUAGGGGGUGUCUUAUAAAUGGGGGCGACUUAUACACAGAAAAAUAUGGUACUUUGUGGACUUCAGCGUCAGGUCAAUGAACACAAGGUGCAGCUGCUGUACAGGGUGACAUUAACUAGCACAAGGUGGUUCUAUUAGUAGGCAGAUAGGCUUCAAGCUGCUCUAUCUCUUUGCAGAGGAUGCAGUCCUAGGUUAGAAGUGAGUAGUUGCAAAGUAGCUUUCUGACACAUUUGAGUAAGACCCAUUUGGAGAACUCCUGUUAUUUCCAUAUAUGAUAUUUUUACUAGAGGCUUAUGUGAAUUGCUGAAACAGGCACACAGCCUAAAAGGUAAAUACUGUUUAGGGAAGCUUUUAAUAUCUAAAGGACUAUAGUAUUUUAAUAUUUUGUUGGAAGCUGCCCAGAGUGGCUGGGGAAACCCAGCCAGAUGGGCGGAGUAUAAAUAAUAAAUUGUUGCUGUUGUUGUUAUUGUUAUGUUAAAGCUAUGGUUUUCCCAGUAGUGAUGUAUGGAAGUGAGAGCUGGACCAUAAAGAAGGCUGACUGCCAAAGAAUUGAUGCUUUUGGAUUAUGGUGUUGGAGGAGACUCUUCAGAGUCCCAUGGACUGCAAGAAGAUCAAACCUUUCCAUUCUGAAGGAAAUCAGCUCACUGGAAGGACAGAUCCUAAAGCUGAGGCUCCAGUACUUUGACCACCUCAUGAGAAGAGAAGACUCCCUGGAAAAGACCCUGAUGUUGGGGAAGAUGGAGGGCACAAGGAGAAGAGGACGACAGAGGACGAGAUGGUUGGACAGUGUUCUCGAAGCUACCAGCAUGAGUUUGACCAAACUACGGGAGGCAGUGGAAGACAGGAGGGCCUGGCGUGCUCUGGUCCAGGGGGUCACGAAGAGUGGGGCACGACUAAACGACUAAACAACAACAUUAUUAUUAUUACAAAUAUAUGUAUAUAUUGCCAUUUUAGGGCAAUUUCCUGUUUGCUUUGAGCCUUAAUUCAAAUCUCUGAAUAGUUAUUCUAAAAUUCAGUUUACAUUGCUAGACAUCAUGUGAGAGAAGUUUUUCAAAACUAAAAUUAAUCAAGAGUUAUCUUAGGUCCACUAUGAGUCAAGCUGAGCUCUCUGGCUUAGCCAUCUUGUCAACUGAAAACAAAGUAGCGAAAGGAAAUGAUUUUGAUGACGCGCGGGGGGGGG